rnacentral:misc_RNA from 1 species
GAUUUCUAUACUGGAGGAACCUCAAUUGGAACCUCAUUUUCCAGUUUAUUGAUAUAAAGAAAAAGUAAAUACAUAAUGAACUUUCUUUUUUUGUGUCAAAUGUUUCUUUUUAGCUUAACAAGUAGAUAUCAUGCUAGUGUCCUUAACCAACCAAGUAGUCUAAGAAGAGCACUGUCCAGCACAUCUGAUUUUUUUUCAAACCCUAAGUCAGCUGCAACACGAUGAGCGCACAUUACUCCUGAAAAGGCUACAGCUAUAACACCUUGUCCUGGGAAGCAACUAUCGCCAACACAAUAUAGACCAUCUAUAGCAGUGGUAUUGAAAGGCAUUCCCAGGAGUCCCUUAGGUGUUCCGCGUGGCAUUGGUCCAUAGGUACCACUAUCACGAGCAAGGUAUCGUCUGUGGGUCUUUGGAGUUCCCACCUCCUUAAAGAGAAUAGAUGACUUAAGCCCUGGGAAGAGUGUUUUUUCAAGUCUGCUUAUAAUCCUUUCAGCAACAACCUCUUUCUUCGCUUCAUAGUCUUUCGGAGAGAGUCCCUCCCAAUCUUCAAUGCUCGAUGUUGUAAAAAUGUGAAGAAUAUGGUGUCCUUCUGGGGCCAAUGAGGAAUCAAGAACUGUUGGAAUACUCAAGAAUAUACUUCCAUAUGGUUUCUCCAAAUUUGUCCAAUCAUCCUCGAGGACAAAAUGGUGACAAUCUGUGUCUGGUGGGAGUACAUCUGCUUUAACUCCCAUAUGAAUAGAAAGAAAAGAAGGUGCUUUUACAUAAGCUUUCUGGAAAUUUUCUUCUUCUUUUGGCAGAUUCUCAGCUUUUAAAAGCUUUCCAAAAGUAUCCCAUCUGGUAGCAUUCGAUACUAUGGUUUUAGCAUAAAACUUCCUCCCGUCAGAAAGCUUCACUCCCACAGCUUUGCCAUUGUCCAAAAUGAUACUUGUAACAUUUGCCCUAUAAAGUAUCUGACUUCCGUGAUCAUCCAAGCCUUUUGCUAAGGAUUUGGCGAUCUCGCCAACUCCACCAACGGGGUAGUUGAUUCCGCCAAAAUGUCUGUCACAUAGAACCAUGCUUGCAUUGAUCAUUGGUGUUUGUAAUGCAUUAACUGUACUCACGAUAAAGCACUCUGCAUCUAUAAAAGACAGCAACCCAGGAUCUCUUAUAUACUUCCGAGCGAUGCUACCAGCAUUCUGGGGCAAAUAGUAGGCAAGAGUCAAGCAUUCAAGGGGCUUCUUAAAGAACUGGCCAAAAAGGUAGAUGGGUUCCUCCAAAGACUUCAGUUCCAAUGAAUUCAGAGAAUUAAAGAUCUUCCAGCAUUCACUGUAAAAUUUGAUAAUCCCUUCCUUUUCAUGUGGAAAUUUACUCACAAGCUCUUCAAUGAAGUCAUCAUACUCUCGGUGUAUACGAACAGAAAGGUCAUUUGGCAGGUGGAAAUGUACAGUUGUUGGGUCAGGUAUAACUUCUAAUUUACGUCCUACUGCUGCCAAUGCUUGAGUAAUUAAAUUGAGGUUUCCCUUAUCACUGAAUCCAAACAUCACUGAUGAACCAACAUCAAACUUAUAACCAUCCCUCUCGUAAAAGCCAGAGCUUCCACCAGGAAUAACAUACUUCUCCAGAACUAAAACCUUAGCUCCCUUAACCGCCAGCUGCGUCGCUGCCACCAAUCCACCUAUUCCUGAACCUAUAACAAUGGCAUCAUAGCUGCCACUCUCAUUUCCUUCUACAUCACUACUGCCAUAGCUCUCCACUCUUUUGUCUACAUCUACAACUGCUUUCAAAUUGGAAACAGUACCCCCUCUUCUUCCCUUAGCCUUGUCCACCCCCCAACUCAAGCCACAAAGCUGCUGCUGAUCAGUACAAUUUCCAAUUAUCAAAGGGUCAAAACAAGAACUUCUCUGUUUAUUGUAUCUUGGUUUGCUAUCACCCAAAGCUACAGUCUUGCAGGUACCAUCAAGAAGUGAAUUAGGAUACAUAAAACUCAAGGUACACAUUUCUCUUAUUUCACAAAAUUUUGGGCUCCCUGGAAAGUUAACCAAACAAGACUAGAACUUUUGCCUUGUGGGUUUCAAGCUAUCCAAUUCUUUACUUCUGCAGCUGCCAAAAUACUGAUAAAUUAAAAAGAUUGAAUCUUUUUUUCUUUAAAUUGCUGGAAACCCAAGAUUACAAACACAAUAAACUACAAAAAUGGAAUCUUGACAACUCUUUACCUCUGCAACUGCAAAAGCAGAGAAAAUUCUAAAAACUUGAAUCUUUUCACUUUAAAUUGUUCAAAUUCCA